rnacentral:rRNA from 1 species
ACAUGCAAGUCGAACGGUGAAGGAGAGCUUGCUCUUUGGAUCAGUGGCGAACGGGUGAGUAACACGUGAGCAAUCUGCCCCUGACUCUGGGAUAACAGUUGGAAACAGCUGCUAAUACCGGAUACGAGACGUGACCGCAUGGUCGACGUUUGGAAAGAAUUUCGGUCAGGGAUGAGCUCGCGGCCUAUCAGCUUGUUGGUGAGGUAAUGGCUCACCAAGGCGUCGACGGGUAGCCGGCCUGAGAGGGUGACCGGCCACACUGGGACUGAGACACGGCCCAGACUCCUACGGGAGGCAGCAGUGGGGAAUAUUGCACAAUGGGCGAAAGCCUGAUGCAGCAACGCCGCGUGAGGGACGACGGCCUUCGGGUUGUAAACCUCUUUUAGCAGGGAAGAAGCGAAAGUGACGGUACCUGCAGAAAAAGCGCCGGCUAACUACGUGCCAGCAGCCGCGGUAAUACGUAGGGCGCAAGCGUUAUCCGGAAUUAUUGGGCGUAAAGAGCUCGUAGGCGGUUUGUCGCGUCUGCUGUGAAAACUGGAGGCUCAACCUCCAGCCUGCAGUGGGUACGGGCAGACUAGAGUGCGGUAGGGGAGAUUGGAAUUCCUGGUGUAGCGGUGGAAUGCGCAGAUAUCAGGAGGAACACCGAUGGCGAAGGCAGAUCUCUGGGCCGUAACUGACGCUGAGGAGCGAAAGGGUGGGGAGCAAACAGGCUUAGAUACCCUGGUAGUCCACCCCGUAAACGUUGGGAACUAGUUG